CACUCGACGACCGACCUUUCGAAUUUCUUUCUUCCGUUGUUGUUCCAGGGACGACUUCUGCGGAUAACAGUCGGAGAAACGUGACAUUAGUAUUACGGUGAACCUUCUUGCGAAUCGAAUAUGGACGAUACUCGAGGGAGACGCGCACGCACAACUUAAUACGUCAUUACAGUCCGUUCUUGUGUACGUUUCGCGCGUCGCUGCGUGUACGAAUGAAACGAACACUGAUCGUCGUCGGCAUGCUCGCGGAAAAUCUCAAGAAACUUUAGAAGGAUGAUGGUGUCACACAGAACAAGACCGGACGCGUGUCUGCGUCUCGCGCGAGCGAUCCUCAGGACCGUCCGAGCACGUACCGCGUCGUUUCGAGCACCGAUCGUCUCAACGCAUGCAUGUUGGGGACAGUGUACCUUCUAUGAUUGCGAAAAGACGCGACCACGGGGCUUUUACACGAUUUUAACAUUUUCUUCAAGAAGAGUAGAAUAUGUACUUGUAAAACCAGGACCAGUCACCAAGAAUCCAGAGGCGUAGAUUGCACAUAAAUUGGUUUCUAUGUAUACUAUUCUUUGCUUACCAAUAUGGAUAAACUAAUUUAGUAAAAUAAGAAGCAAUAACAGAAGUGGAACUAGAAAACAAUAACACUGAUUACUCGAUGGUGAAAGGGUGUGGCAGCGCCAUUGAGUCGUUACUCGCAGGAAUAGAGCAAGUAGUGGGAUAAUACGUGCGAUUGCAUGCAUUUGUGUGCGUCCGCGUAUCUAUGUGGUUGUACGAGUAUGCGAGAAAGACAGGAAAAAUGAAAGACGGAGAAAGAAUUAAAGUGUAAAAGAAAUAGAGAGAAGAAGGAGUGAGACGAACAGAGAAAAAGAGAAACAGAAAUGAAGAGAGAAAGACGGAGAAGGCGGUAGACGUGGCGGAAACUCGGAACGGUGGAGUGCGGAUGGGGACAAGGAUGAACCACCUUAAAGGGGAUAGCAUGAAUCAUAAGUAAUCAAUAUUAUACCUGCGACCGAUAUAGAAAAAUUUUGGAUGAUACGUAAGUGUUAGAAUGCUUCGUAUUUUUGUUUCAGUAUCCUGUGAUUUACCUAUAGUUAUCUAACGAAUAAUAUAACAGUGCAUAUUUUCAUUAUAUAGAACAUUUUAAAUAAAGUUUUUUAAUCAAUCUUAAAGUUGAACAUAAUUAUUAGAAGUUAAAUAUUCAAGUUUCUUCAUACUCAUAAACGUUUACAAUUACCAUAAUUACUAUGAAAUAUUUGAUCACAAAAUUUAAUAAAUUGCAAAUAUUUAUGCAUAAAUAUACAAUAGAACAAUCUGAAAUAAUACAAGUCAGAGAUUAAGAAAUUUACUUUCAAUUUCAAUACUAUUUACUUGUAUAUUAAUUUACAUGAUUCUUAAUUUUUCUUUAAAAAAAUGUAAAUGGAUAUGAUUAGUAACAAUGUCUCAGGUAUUAUUAAUAACUUAAUUUUGUAUACAUCAUUGAUUAUAAAAUAAACUGCAAUUAUUAUAUUACUUCUGUACAUGUAUAUAAUUUUACAUUCCUUUUUAAUAUUUAGAAUUCUACUAUAAUUUAUGUAUUUAAAUUUAAACAUUUAUUGCUUGAUCAAAUCGUAAUGGUUGACUUGAGUCUAAUAAACCAAAUUUCCUGUAUAAUGCAUUCAAAGCAGCUACAUUUUUUGCUUCCUUAACAGUUUGUCCAAAUCCUAAAAACAUGAUUUAUUAGUUACUAUACACAAGAUAUUCAAAAGCUUCAACAUUUACCUGAACCUAAGAAUUGUUUAUUACAAUAGACUGCAAUUUGGUAAGCUGAUAAAAUAGUAUUUUUUCCAGCUUGUCUAAUAAUUCUUGGUUCUAUAUGUGCAUUGUUUUCCUUAGAAACUAUAUCGUUUAACAUUUCAAAUGGCUCUGAUGGGCACCAAAUUUCAGUCAAAUCUUUACAAGCUAAUCCCACUAUUAGAAAAUCUCGAACAAAGGCACUUGCAUGAUCAGUAUCUGUACUU